UACCAGCACCCCGAGUGGUCGGGACGAUUAUUGGGCCUAAAGCAUCCGUAGCCGGCCUUACAAGUCUUCCGUUAAAUCCACCUGCUUAACAGAUGGGCUGCGGAGGAUACUAUAGAGCUAGGAGGCGGGAGAGGCAGGCGGUACUUAGUGGGUAGGGGUAAAAUCCGUUGAUCCAUUGAAGACCACCAGUGGCGAAGGCGGCUUGCCAGAACGCACUCGACGGUGAGGGAUGAAAGCUGGGGGAGCAAACCGG
rnacentral:rRNA from 1 species